UUGAUCCUACGGGGCGCAGCAGUAGGGAAUCUUCCACAAUGGGCGAAAGCCUGAUGGAGCAACGCCGCGUGGGUGAAGAAGGUCUUCGGAUCGUAAAACCCUGUUGUUAGAGAAGAAAGUGCGUGAGAGUAACUGUUCAUGUUUCGACGGUAUCUAACCAGAAAGCCACGGUUAACUACGUGCCAGCAGCCGCGGUAAUACGUAGGUGGCAAGCGUUAUCCGGAUUUAUUGGGCGUAAAGGGAACGCAGGCGGUCUUUUCUGUCUGAUGUGACAGCCUUUGGCUUAACCG
rnacentral:rRNA from 1 species